rnacentral:lncRNA from 1 species
CAUAUCUCACGGAAGCAUGAUGACGUUAUUAAGCCGAUAGGGGCGUGUACGAGGCCUUGUUGCCGUGAGGUUGUCUGAUUAAGUUAAUGGGCCGAAGUCAAUCCACUCCCACCAUGUUACCUUCUCUAAGUUCAAUUACACAGUCAUGACAUUAUUUAGGAUUCCAUUGACAUUGAUUAGGAUUCCAUUAGCUUAAUUAGCUCGCAAGCGGUAGGCAAGAGGUUCUUGUUUGUUGUGUUCUGAUCUUUUAGGUUAGUAGAUUGAUGUCAAUACCCUCUCAUCCAUGUUACCUUGUCU